rnacentral:rRNA from 1 species
UACGUAGGUGACAAGCGUUAUCCGGAAUUACUGGGCGUAAAGCGCACGCAAGCGGUCUGACAAGUCUGACGUGAAAUCUCUUGGCUUAACCAGGAGCGGUCGUUGGAAACUGUCAGGCUUGAGGCGAUGAGAGGGAUGCAGAAUUCCUGGUGUAGUGGUGGAAUGCGUAGAUAUCAGGAGGAAUACCUGUGGCGAAAGCGGCAUCCUGGCGUCGUCCUGACGCUCAUGUGCGAAAGCGUGGGGAGCGAACGGG